rnacentral:rRNA from 1 species
UGAGGAAUUUUGCGCAAUGGGCGAAAGCCUGACGCAGCGACGCCGCGUGGAGGAAGACGGCCUUCGGGUUGUAAACUCCUGUCAGAGGUGAAGAAUGCCCGCAAGGGUUUGACGGUAACCUCAGAGGAAGCCCCGGCUAACUACGUG